rnacentral:rRNA from 1 species
AUACGUAGGGGGCGAGCGUUGUCCGGAAUGAUUGGGCGUAAAGGGCGCGUAGGCGGCCCGGUAAGUCUGGAGUGAAAGUCCUGUUUUUAAGAUGGGAAUUGCUUUGGAUACUGUCGGGCUUGAGUGCAGGAGAGGUAAGUGGAAUUCCCAGGGUAGCGGUGAAAUGCGUAGAGAUUGGGAGGAACACCAGUGGCGAAGGCGACUUACUGGACUGUAACUGACGCUGAGGCGCGAAAGUGUGGGGAGCAAACAGGAUUAGAUACCCUGGUAGUCCACACUGUAAACGAUGAAUGCUAGGUGUAGGGGGUAUCGACCCCUUCUGUGCCGCAGUCAACACAAUAAGCAUUCCGCCUGGGGAGUACGGCCGCAAGGUUGAAACUCAAAGGAAUUGACGGGG